GGGAACACCGUUUCAGCUCUGGAUUAAAUGUUUCUUCAGACAAUUCUUCCAUUCCGUAGCAAAAGUUGAUUAUCUCACUUUGAGACAUGGUUUCAUCUCGGCUCACCUGUCGGCCAGUAACAACUUCGAUUUCCGAAAAUAUAUAA